AUCGCCUCAGUAACGGCGAGUGAAGCGGCAAAAGCUCAGAUUUGAAAUCUGGCGUCAUCUUGGCGUCCGAGUUGUAAUCUGUAGAGGAGUAUUCGAGUGUGGCGUUGGCUUAAGUUCCUUGGAACAGGACGUCAUAGAGGGUGAGAACCCCGUUAACGGCCUUUGUCUUAUGCUCAUGUGAAUCUCCUUCAACGAGUCGAGUUGUUUGGGAAUGCAGCUCUAAAUGGGUGGUAAAUUCCAUCUAAAGCUAAAUACUGGCAAGAGACCGAUAGCGCACAAGUAGAGUGAUCGAAAGAUGAAAAGAACUCUGAACAGAGAGUUAAAUAGUACGUGAAAUUGUUGAAAGGGAAGCACUUGCUACCAGACACGCCUGUAGUUGAUCAGCCUUCAUUCUUGAUGGUGCACUCGGCUAUAUGGUGGGUCAGCAUCAGUUGUGGCGGUGGGAUAAAGACCUGGGGAAUGUGGCUUCUCUCGGGAAGUGUUAUAGCCCUGGGUGCAAUACCGCCUGCUGCGACUGAGGACCGCGCCC
rnacentral:rRNA from 1 species